rnacentral:rRNA from 1 species
UUUGAUCCUGGCUCAGAUUGAACGCUGGCGGCAGGCCUAACACAUGCAAGUCGAACGGCAGCACAGAAGAGCUUGCUCUUUGGGUGGCGAGUGGCGGACGGGUGAGUAAUGUCUGGGAAACUGCCCGAUGGAGGGGGAUAACUACUGGAAACGGUAGCUAAUACCGCAUAACGUCGCAAGACCAAAGUGGGGGACCUUCGGGCCUCACACCAUCGGAUGUGCCCAGAUGGGAUUAGCUAGUAGGUGGGGUAAUGGCUCACCUAGGCGACGAUCCCUAGCUGGUCUGAGAGGAUGACCAGCCACACUGGAACUGAGACACGGUCCAGACUCCUACGGGAGGCAGCAGUGGGGAAUAUUGCACAAUGGGCGCAAGCCUGAUGCAGCCAUGCCGCGUGUAUGAAGAAGGCCUUCGGGUUGUAAAGUACUUUCAGCGGGGAGGAAGGCGGUGAGGUUAAUAACCUCGCCGAUUGACGUUACCCGCAGAAGAAGCACCGGCUAACUCCGUGCCAGCAGCCGCGGUAAUACGGAGGGUGCAAGCGUUAAUCGGAAUUACUGGGCGUAAAGCGCACGCAGGCGGUCUGUUAAGUCAGAUGUGAAAUCCCCGGGCUUAACCUGGGAACUGCAUUUGAAACUGGCAGGCUUGAGUCUCGUAGAGGGGGGUAGAAUUCCAGGUGUAGCGGUGAAAUGCGUAGAGAUCUGGAGGAAUACCGGUGGCGAAGGCGGCCCCCCUGGACGAAGACUGACGCUCAGGUGCGAAAGCGUGGGGAGCAAACAGGAUUAGAUACCCCUGGUAGUCCACGCCGUAAACGAUGUCGACUUGGAGGUUGUGCCCUUGAGGCGUGGCUUCCGGAGCUAACGCGUUAAGUCGACCGCCUGGGGAGUACGGCCGCAAGGUUAAAACUCAAAUGAAUUGACGGGGGCCCGCACAAGCGGUGGAGCAUGUGGUUUAAUUCGAUGCAACGCGAAGAACCUUACCUGGCCUUGACAUCCAGAGAACUUAGCAGAGAUGCUUUGGUGCCUUCGGGAACUCUGAGACAGGUGCUGCAUGGCUGUCGUCAGCUCGUGUUGUGAAAUGUUGGGUUAAGUCCCGCAACGAGCGCAACCCUUAUCCUUUGUUGCCAGCGGUUCGGCCGGGAACUCAAAGGAGACUGCCGGUGAUAAACCGGAGGAAGGUGGGGAUGACGUCAAGUCAUCAUGGCCCUUACGGCCAGGGCUACACACGUGCUACAAUGGCGCAUACAAAGAGAAGCGACCUCGCGAGAGCAAGCGGACCUCAUAAAGUGCGUCGUAGUCCGGAUUGGAGUCUGCAACUCGACUCCAUGAAGUCGGAAUCGCUAGUAAUCGUAGAUCAGAAUGCUACGGUGAAUACGUUCCCGGGCCUUGUACUCACCGCC